UGCUUACUUAAGAGCCAAGAUGACUGC
rnacentral:piRNA from 1 species